UACGUAGGGUGCGAGCGUUAAUCGGAAUUACUGGGCGUAAAGCGUGCGUAGGCGGUUCGUUAAGUUUGCGGUGAAAGCCCCGGGCUCAACCUGGGAAUGGCCGUGGAAACUGGCGGGCUGGAGUGUGGCAGAGGGGGGUGGAAUUCCGCGUGUAGCAGUGAAAUGCGUAGAGAUGCGGAGGAACACCGAUGGCGAAGGCAGCCCCCUGGGCCAACACUGACGCUCAGGCACGAAAGCGUGGGGAGCAAACAGG
rnacentral:rRNA from 1 species